GCCAAUGUGGUGCAGUGGUUGAAUGUUGGACUGUGACUCUGGAGAUCAGGGUUCAAAUCUCAGCUUAGCCA